CAUCGAUCUAAUAAAGGCUCUUGGGGCUUUCUGUUCCCUCGCAGGCAUCGCCCCACCGGUUGCUGGAGGGCGGGGACUGUCGACGGUGAAGAGCGCUGGGCACUAGCGAACGAUGAAGAGUGAGCCGCUGGAGCGGGAUCCCAGCUGGGGGACGUGUGAGAUCGCCAUCUUCCAGGCAAAGCCCUAUCAAAGCAGCUGUGCAAGGCCUACCUGCCCGUCGGUGAGGACACGAACAAGUUUUGGUGAGUCUGAACACGACACCGCCCUGUCUAGUCCUGAUGGCGGCAAAAGCAGAGGCCGCCUGUGCCUUCCUGCAGGUGCUGGGUGAGGCUAGGUCUGGGCACUGUCCCGCCAGUGCAGGAGGCCUGAGGCCAGGGAUGUGCCCCCAGCAGUACAGGGGCUCAUGUGGGCCUGUUUCUCAGGAGCAGAGCCUGGAGCAGAGCUGACAAGGGGAUGCUCCCAGCGGCCCGGGCUGAGGGAAGGGGGUGCCUAAACCACCUCUAUGGGCCGAGACAGGCCUGAAGCUGGGAAACCACAAGACAAGAGCCGGCCCAGGCCCAGUUGGGGCUGUGCACGUCUCUGACAGCAGCAAACCCCAUUCAGCUUCUUUUGUAAAGGCCACUACAAGGAACCAGAUCAGGAAAAGUUGACUGGUAAGUCUGGUUUCCACUGAAUAGCACACCAGCAAGCUCAGACAUCCUGUCUUGGUUUGCAGCCAAGGUGCACUCCUUGCAUUUGACCACUCACCCUGCUUCUUUUUACGCCAAAAUCGGCAAAACCUACCCUCCUCCCCCCUAUAUUCUCUGCCAAACAAACCAACCUCCCUGCCUCAGAGACCUCGAUGAGUCAGGCCGGGACUUCCAUCCCCUUAUACUCAGACCUGGGAAGUUGGCAGCACCUUGCCCUGCUUAGUAUCCAUUAACUUUUCCCCCAACACUGAGCCUUUAUAGCACAUCUUGGGGCCGGCCCCAGUAGCUUCACAAGAACAGUCAGGGCCUCACAGGGAAGGAGCUGCUGCCUAGGCCUCCUUCACCCUGGCUCAUGACCGGUUGGCUGGUUGCUAGCAGAGCCAUGCCCUACUAACUGUGCUUUCUCAUACUCUGGAGACAGAGAAGACAAGUCUCAGCUGCAAAGGAUAUGACCCAGAAGGUGAAAAAAGGUGGCCACCUAUUUGAGACAAACCUAUGGAUAUAUGAAUUCACUGCUCAAUUAUGUGCUUUCACUAGGUUUUUACUUGUUAACAAACAUGGUAGGAAGGCUCGGGGAGGAGUCCUUGCAGCUAGUAAACACCAGAGAACCAUGAGUUUUUGAGACGCCUCGUCUCGGCAUUAACAAAGGCAGCAUUCCCUCAGCCUGUCAGUCGGACCCAAGCAAAACGAGUUUCUCUCCCACCAGGCCCUCCUCAACAUCUGGCUGAGCCACUGUCCAAGGCCAUGCAUGGAGUCUGCUGGCAUCUAACCCACCCCACGUGUGCACAGGUACCAGGCAUCGUACGCUUGCUGCUCUUGGAGACACACAGCACAGCAGUACAUGACAUGGGAUGUUUUUGUUAGUGUCACAGCUAGCUCGCUCGGUGGCAGUCACCUUUUAGGCUAAAGCAUCAGGAUUCCAGGGAAUACUCACGUUAGUUGAUGGAUGUUGGAAGGCAUUGGAGGAAAACACCAUAGUUAGGACAGUUAAUGACUUACACACGGUUGGUAAGACUGAUCUCGAACAUGCGCAAACAUUUAUCAUAGUAACCAUGGUGUUGGUUAGUGCCACAUUCAAAUAAAAAUAGUUCUAUACAUAUGUUCAUUUGGUCAUGUGCUAUUUACAGAUUUUUACAAAAACACAUACACACACACACACCCCCACAAACACACACACAAUCCCCCUUAUAUUCUCUACACCAGGCUAAAACAGGCCAGCAGAAACUUGCAAAAAGGUAUCAUGGGUGACAACAGGUGCCUAUGUAUUAAUUCCUACAGCUACCUUUGCAGCAGAACACAAUCCUCCUUCCCCUCGAGCACAGUAAAACUCAAGUUCUGAGCUAAGAACUUACUUAAGAGAAAAUUGGACACAUCUGUUUGAUAGUUCAAGCUAAGCCAUUUAAAAGUUAAAAACAAGACAGUUAUUUUUCUGUCCAUUUAAAAUGUUUUAUUUUCCUUUUUAAACUAGAUUGUGAAGUGCCACUGAAAUAGGCAAUGUUGGCAAAACAAUGUCUGUUACAAUAAAAUACAUUAGACAUUUAAAUAAAUAACCUUAAAAACUAUGUGGGGGGACAUGAACCCAGUCGAUUGAAUCUGGAACAAUGUUUUCUGCACAAGCGAGAACAGGCAUACCUCUUGUUAAGACUGAUGUAAACAGAACCAUCGGAACCCUACAGGAGAAGCAGCCGAGCAGGGCCAGGAGUGGGGGUGGGAGUGAACGGGGGCCGGGGGGGUGAGGGGAGUGGCAAACCAAAAAAUACUGACUGAGGUAGCAGUACUCUGCUCAGUGCAGAAAAAUUGGCUUAUGAAUAAAAAUUAGACUGUGAUCUCAGAUUAAAUCCAGAUGAUCAUGCAAAAGACACAAUACAUGCUAUUUAGUUUUAGAAAAAAAA